UCAAAGGAAGAGAUGUGAAUACUUUUGUCAGCUUCUGUGAAGCUAUUAUAGCAAGAAAGCAUUUUGAAAAGGGCCCAAUACCUCAUGCCCAAAUUUUGCCAAGUCCUCGUUUACUCUCAGAUAUCUAGUCCUGCUUCCCUAAAUUGAAUCUGAUAAUUGCCUCUUCUCGAUCAUCUCCAUGUUUAUGCCACACCAGGGUGGGAAGUGAGGCCAGAUGGUUAUUUGAAAGUGUCUCAGCCUGGUUUGCAGAGUUUCCUUGAAGAAAAAGCUGCUAAACACCAGAAUCAAAACAACCACAAUAGAAGGACAAAUAUGCUCCCAGGAGAAACAACUAAGGAAUUCUUCAACAUAAAUCAUAUAGUUAAAAAUAAUUAUUCAAAAGACUAAAUCUACUCCAUUACAUUUCUAUUUAAAUCUAAAAUUUGUUCCUACGGCUGCUAGGGAGACCAUUCAACUCCACUUCUGCUGUGUGCAAGAGCAGCAGAGGAGGAUCCAAGAUAAGCAUCCAUUCCUUCCAUAUCCACUGAGUUCUAUCUACAAAGCAUGGGGUUUGGAAAAUACUGCUGUAGAAGAGAGCUUGCAGAAGUCUCCUUUAAUCACUGAAGGAACACCAAUGUUCAGAACAGCGGGAACUAAUUAAUACUGCCUUAGCUGCCUUCGCUUCAGUUCAGAAAUGAUCCAAGAAUCAUUGUUCACCUCAAGCCUUUCCUUCCUUUCAGCUGCUACCCUUCAUAUCAUGCUCAUUUGGCUUUGUGCCUAGAUGCCACUACUUUUGCUCAGUCUCUUGGGACUGAAAACUUGACUUCAGACUUUCAGAUUGGAAGUUCCACAUGGAAGGAGCUUGGAAAUUGCAUUUUGUCCUAACAACAAGAGCUAAACAGACUGAAAAAUGAGCUAUUCCUUGGUUCCAUAAGAGGGAGAAAACACAAGGCAAACUGCUGCCCCCAUGGUUGAAGAGUCAGACAGAAAAACUGAGAGUAAUGGCUUAGCAGAGCAGAGACCCAGGAGCAGAAAACUUCACCAGAAUCAGUGCUGGGAGAGAGAAAGAGGCAGAGACACAGGAGGAGGGAGAAGCAGGCUCCAUGCCGGA